rnacentral:rRNA from 1 species
CAUGUAGGCGGCCCGGUAAGCGCUGUGUGAAAUCCCUCGGCCUAACCGAGGAAUGGCUUGGCGAACUAUCGGGCUUGAGGCAAGUAGGGGCGUGUGGAACUCUUGGUGGAGCGGUGGAAUGCGUAGAUAUCAAGAGGAACGCCAGUGGCGAAGGCGACACGCUGGGCUUGUCCUGACGCUGAGAUGCGAAAGCCAGGGGAGCGAACAGGAUUAGAUACCCUGGUAGUCC